rnacentral:rRNA from 1 species
UCAGACGAUGCGUCAUGCAUAUCAAUAAGCGGAGGAAAAGAAACUAAUAAGGAUUCCCUUAGUAACGGCGAGUGAAGCGGGAAGAGCUCAAAUUUGAAAUCUUCAAGGUUUUACCUUGACGAAUUGUAGUUUAAAGAAGUGUUUUCUGUUAGAGGAGUAGUAAAAGUUCUUUGGAAUAGGACAUCAUAGAGGGUGAGAAUCCCGUAUUUGACUAUUCUUUCUAGCUGUGUGAUACACUUUCAAAGAGUCGGAUUGUUUGGGAAUGCAGUCCAAAAUGGGUGGUAAAUUUCAUCUAAAGCUAAAUAUUGGCGAGAGACCUGAUAGCGAACAAGUACCGUGAGGGAAAGAUGAAAAGAACUUUGAAAAGAGAGUUAAACAGUACGUGAAAUUGUCAAAAGGGAAGCGUUUGACACCAGUGUUGUUUUCUCGAAAAUCAAUUAAAAAGAGUUGGAUUUUGUGUUGUAUUGACCUUAACAGCUUGCUUCACUCUUUUCCUGCUUUUUUUAAUGCACUUUUCGUUUAACAAGUCAACAUCAGUUUCUUUUGUUGUAAAAGGGUCAUUGGAAGGUGGCUUUCUCUUCGGAGAAAGUGUUUAUAGCCUUUGAUCUCUGCAAUCGGAGAGACUGAGGUCUGCAGCGUAGAUCCUUCGGGGUUAGAUACAUUUGUGCUAAGCUAUCAGCUUUUCAUAGACAACUUGUUGACUAUGAUUAGUCAUUGUAGCUUACUCCGCUUAUGCUAUUUUACCUACGCUUAGGAUGUUGAUAUGCAUGACUGAUAU